rnacentral:tRNA from 1 species
GGGGCCUUAGCUCAGCUGGGAGAGCGCCUGCUUUGCAAGCAGGAGGUCGCGGGUUCGAUCCCCGCAGGCUCCA